CUACCCUUGGUCAGGUUGAAGUUCAGGUAACACUGAAUGGAGGACCGAACCGACUUACGUUGAAAAGUGAGCGGAUGAACUGAGGGUAGCGGAGAAAUUUCAAUCGAACCUGGAGAUAGCUGGUUCUCUCCGAAAUAGCUUUAGGGCUAGCCUCAAGUGAUGAUUAUUGGAGGUAGAGCACUGUUUGGACGAGGGGCCCCUCUCGGGUUACCGAAUUCAGACAAACUCCGAAUGCCAAUUAAUUUAACUUGGGAGUCAGAACAUGGGUGAUAAGGUCCGUGUUCGAAAGGGAAACAGCCCAGACCACCAGCUAAGGUCCCAAAAUAUAUGUUAAGUGGAAAAGGAUGUGGCGUUGCCCAGACAACUAGGAUGUUGGCUUAGAAGCAGCCAUCAUUUAAAGAGUGCGUAAUAGCUCACUAGUCGAGUGACACUGCGCCGAAAAUGUACCGGGGCUAAACAUAUUACCGAAGCUGUGGAUUGUCCUUUGGACAAUGGUAGGAGAGCGUUCUAAGGGCGUUGAAGCAUGAUCGUAAGGACAUGUGGAGCGCUUAGAAGUGAGAAUGCCGGUGUGAGUAGCGAAAGACGGGUGAGAAUCCCGUCCACCGAUUGACUAAGGUUUCCAGAGGAAGGCUCGUCCGCUCUGGGUUAGUCGGGUCCUAAGCUGAGGCCGACAGGCGUAGGCGAUGGAUAACAGGUUGAUAUUCCUGUACCACCUAUAAUCGUUUUAAUCGAUGGGGGGACGCAGUAGGAUAGGCGAAGCGUGCGAUUGGAUUGCACGUCUAAGCAGUAAGGCUGAGUAUUAGGCAAAUCCGGUACUCGUUAAGGCUGAGCUGUGAUGGGGAGAAGACAUUGUGUCUUCGAGUCGUUGAUUUCACACUGCCGAGAAAAGCCUCUAGAUAGAAAAUAGGUGCCCGUACCGCAAACCGACACAGGUAGUCAAGAUGAGAAUUCUAAGGUGAGCGAGCGAACUCUCGUUAAGGAACUCGGCAAAAUGACCCCGUAACUUCGGGAGAAGGGGUGCUCUUUAGGGUUAACGCCCAGAAGAGCCGCAGUGAAUAGGCCCAAGCGACUGUUUAUCAAAAACACAGGUCUCUGCUAAACCGUAAGGUGAUGUAUAGGGGCUGACGCCUGCCCGGUGCUGGAAGGUUAAGAGGAGUGGUUAGCUUCUGCGAAGCUACGAAUCGAAGCCCCAGUAAACGGCGGCCGUAACUAUAACGGUCCUAAGGUAGCGAAAUUCCUUGUCGGGUAAGUUCCGACCCGCACGAAAGGCGUAACGAUUUGGGCACUGUCUCAACGAGAGACUCGGUGAAAUCAUAGUACCUGUGAAGAUGCAGGUUACCCGCGACAGGACGGAAAGACCCCGUGGAGCUUUACUGUAGCCUGAUAUUGAAAUUCGGCACAGCUUGUACAGGAUAGGUAGGAGCCUUUGAAACGUGAGCGCUAGCUUACGUGGAGGCGCUGGUGGGAUACUACCCUAGCUGUGUUGGCUUUCUAACCCGCACCACUUAUCGUGGUGGGAGACAGUGUCAGGCGGGCAGUUUGACUGGGGCGGUCGCCUCCUAAAAGGUAACGGAGGCGCUCAAAGGUUCCCUCAGAAUGGUUGGAAAUCAUUCAUAGAGUGUAAAGGCAUAAGGGAGCUUGACUGCGAGACCUACAAGUCGAGCAGGGUCGAAAGACGGACUUAGUGAUCCGGUGGUUCCGCAUGGAAGGGCCAUCGCUCAACGGAUAAAAGCUACCCCGGGGAUAACAGGCUUAUCUCCCCCAAGAGUUCACAUCGACGGGGAGGUUUGGCACCUCGAUGUCGGCUCAUCGCAUCCUGGGGCUGUAGUCGGUCCCAAGGGUUGGGCUGUUCGCCCAUUAAAGCGGUACGCGAGCUGGGUUCAGAACGUCGUGAGACAGUUCGGUCCCUAUCCGUCGUGGGCGUAGGAAAUUUGAGAGGAGCUGUCCUUAGUACGAGAGGACCGGGAUGGACAUACCUCUGGUGUACCAGUUGUCGUGCCAACGGCAUAGCUGGGUAGCUAUGUGUGGACGGGAUAAGUGCUGAAAGCAUCUAAGCAUGAAGCCCCCCUCAAGAUGAGAUUUCCCAACUUCGGUUAUAAGAUCCCUCAAAGAUGAUGAGGUUAAUAGGUUCGAGGUGGAAGCAUGGUGACAUGUGGAGCUGACGAAUACUAAUCGAUCGAAGACUUAAUCAA
rnacentral:rRNA from 1 species